GUAGGUGAACCUGCGGAAGGAUCAUUAGUGAAUUUUAGGGUGCUCUUUACUUCGGUAAAGAGGCCUGACCUCCACUCUCCAACACUGUGCACUAUUUUGGCUUGAAUUUUUUUUCGAAGGCGCGCAAGCGUUGAAUAGAAUUUUGAGCGGCUUCAUUUUAAACUCCCAAGUUAAAGAAUGUAACAAAAAAGAAAAAAGAAAAAAGAAAAAAAAACUUUCAACAACGGAUCUCUUGGCUCUCGCAUCGAUG
rnacentral:misc_RNA from 1 species